rnacentral:rRNA from 2 species
GGACUACUAGGGUUUCUAAUCCUGUUUGCUCCCCACGCUUUCGUGCCUCAGUGUCAGUAUUAGGCCAGGUAGACGCCUUCGCCACUGGUGUUCCUUCCGAUCUCUACGCAUUUCACCGCUACACCGGAAAUUCCACUACCCUCUCCCAUACUCCAGUCAAUCAGUAUCAUCUGACAGGCCCAGGUUAAGCCCAGGUAUUUCACAGAUAACUUAAUCAACAACCUACGCACCCUUUACGCCCAGUAAUUCCGAUUAACGCUCGCACCCUCCGUAUUACCGCGGCGGCUGGCAC